rnacentral:rRNA from 1 species
UACGUAGGGUGCAAGCGUUAAUCGGAAUUACUGGGCGUAAAGCGUGCGCAGGCGGUGAUGUAAGACAGUUGUGAAAUCCCCGGGCUCAACCUGGGAACUGCAUCUGUGACUGCAUCGCUGGAGUACGGCAGAGGGGGAUGGAAUUCCGCGUGUAGCAGUGAAAUGCGUAGAUAUGCGGAGGAACACCGAUGGCGAAGGCAAUCCCCUGGGCCUGUACUGACGCUCCAUGCACGAAAGCGUGGGGAGCAAACAGG